CCGGCUCACUCUGAGUGACAAGUUCUGGGUUAAACUGUGACAAGACACUCUCAGGCCUGUGUUAAUUUUGUUUAAUCAACUCACAGUUGCUGCCAGACCAAAAGGACCCGGGGGAGGUUUGCACACGUGGGAAAUCCCAGCGCACCAUGCAUGGAGCAGGUACAAUUCAGGUCACAUGGUGACUCCGUGGAUGAUAUGAAAACACGACUUUUGUAUGUUUGCCACUGUGUGCUAUGGCUUUUUAUUCCUAUGUGAUGGUGAAAAUGGUUCAUGUAGGAAGAGAAGCCAUUUUACACAUGGUAGGAGAGCAACAUGACAGAAGUGAGCGUCGCCUGCUCGUCGUGGAGACAAACAUAUGGUUGGAUAAAUGUAACUGUUGUCUGUUUUCCUGAUGUUUCCCUGAAGUAAAGAUACAUUUAUGUUGAUCUGAAGACAAAGCAGUGAAGUCAGACCUUGUUAUGUGCGUGCACCUGUUUUUGCCUCAAGGCACAGGCAGCUUCCCCUGCCUGCAGGGUUUGAUGCGAGUGGUGACAGCUGCAGUCUGUAGGGAUGGAAGUGGGAACGCUUGCACAACAUGCUACGAACAAAGGAAGAAGAGAGCGAGGAGAGACCAUCACAGAUCUUUAAUAACAACUAUAAAAGAUGCAUUCAGUGAACCACUUUACAACUUGCAAGAGGCACCGCAUUUCCCUUUCUUCUCUGAUUCUUUUUGCACAUUAUUAAAAUAAAACUUUGACAUGAAGCAUUA